UACGUAGGGGGCAAGCGUUGUCCGGAAUCACUGGGCGUAAAGCGCGCGCAGGCGGCGAUCUACGUCUGGGGUGAAAGCCCGGAGCUCAACUCCGGGAUUGCCUUGGAUACGGGGUCGCUUGAGGAUCGGAGAGGCAAGGGGAAUUCCACGUGUAGCGGUGAAAUGCGCAGAUAUCAGGAGGAACACCAAUAGCGAAGGCAGCUCGCUGGGACGGUACUGACGCUAAGGCGCGAAAGCGUGGGGAGCGAACAGG
rnacentral:rRNA from 1 species